rnacentral:rRNA from 1 species
CGCGUAGGAAUCUACCUAGUAGUGGGGGACAACAUGUGGAAACGCAUGCUAAUACCGCAUACGCCCUACGGGGGAAAGCAGGGGAUCUUCGGACCUUGUGCUAUUAGAUGAGCCUGCGUUAGAUUAGCUAGUUGGUGGGGUAAAGGCCUACCAAGGCGACGAUCUAUAGCUGUUCUGAGAGGAAGAUCAGCCACACUGGGACUGAGACACGGCCCAGACUCCUACGGGAGGCAGCAGUGGGGAAUAUUGCACAAUGGGCGCAAGCCUGAUGCAGCCAUGCCGCGUGUGUGAAGAAGGCUC